rnacentral:piRNA from 1 species
CUAGUCAGGAAUGACAUGGAUGGGAGA